UACGUACGAGGCGAGCGUUAUCCGGAAUUACUGGGCGUAAAGCGUGCGCAGGCGGUUUUGUAAGACUGUCGUGAAAUCCCCGGGCUUAACCUGGGAAUGGCGAUGGUGACUGCAAGGCUAGAGUUUGGCAGAGGGGGGUAGAAUUCCACGUGUAGCAGUGAAAUGCGUAGAUAUGUGGAGGAACACCGAUGGCGAAGGCAGCCCCCUGGGUCAAAACUGACGCUCAUGCACGAAAGCGUGGGGAGCAAACAGG
rnacentral:rRNA from 1 species